GAGAAUUGAUCUGGUUCAGGAUGAACGCUAGCUACAGGCUUAACACAUGCAAGUCGAGGGGCAGCAUGAUCGAGGCUUGCUUGAUGAUGGCGACCGGCGCACGGGUGAGUAACGCGUAUCCAACCUUCCCCAUAGUAGAGAAUAGCCCGGCGAAAGUCGGAUUAAUGCUCUAUGUUGUAUCAUGAGGACAUCUGAAUAAUACCAAAGGUUUACCGCUAUGGGGAUGGGGGAUGCGUCUGAUUAGGUUGUUGGCGGGGUAACGGCCCACCAAGCCCACGAUCAGUAGGGGUUCUGAGAGGAAGGUCCCCCACAUUGGAACUGAGACACGGUCCAAACUCCUACGGGAGGCAGCAGUGAGGAAUAUUGGUCAAUGGACGGAAGUCUGAACCAGCCAAGUAGCGUGCAGGAUGACGGCCCUAUGGGUUGUAAACUGCUUUUAUACAGGGAUAAAGUGAGGGACGUGUCCCUUUUUGUAGGUACUGUAUGAAUAAGGACCGGCUAAUUCCGUGCCAGCAGCCGC
rnacentral:rRNA from 1 species